rnacentral:rRNA from 1 species
UACGUAGGGGGCGAGCGUUGUCCGGAUUCAUUGGGCGUAAAGCGCGCGCAGGCGGCCACCUGAGCCCGGCGUGAAAGCCCCCGGCUCAACCGGGGGAGGUCGUCGGGGACCAGGUGGCUUGAGGCCGGUAGGGGCGAGCGGAAUUCCCGGUGUAGUGGUGGAAUGCGUAGAGAUCGGGAGGAACACCAGUGGCGAAGGCGGCUCGCUGGGCCGGUCCUGACGCUCAGGCGCGAAAGCGUGGGGAGCGAUCCGG